rnacentral:rRNA from 1 species
CCUACGGGAGGCAGCAGUGGGGAAUCUUGCGCAAUGGGCGAAAGCCUGACGCAGCCAUGCCGCGUGAAUGAUGAAGGUCUUAGGAUUGUAAAAUUCUUUUCACCGGGGACGAUAAUGACGGUACCCGGAGAAGAAGCCCCGGCUAACUUCGUGCCAGCAGCCGCGGUAAUACGAAGGGGGGCUAGCGUUGCUCGGAAUUACUGGGCGUAAAGGGAGCGUAGGCGGAUAGUUUAGUCAGAGGUGAAAGCCCAGGGCUCAACCUUGGAAUUGCCUUUGAUACUGGCUAUCUUGAGUAUGGGAGAGGUUAGCGGAACUCCGAGUGUAGAGGUGAAAUUCGUAGAUAUUCGGAAGAACACCAGUGGCGAAGGCGGCUAACUGGCCCAUUACUGACGCUGAGGCUCGAAAGCGUGGGGAGCAAACAGGAUUAGAUACCCUGGUAGUCCACGCCGUAAACGAUGAGUGCUAGUUGUCGGCAUGCAUGCAUGUCGGUGACGCAGCUAACGCAUUAAGCACUCCGCCUGGGGAGUACGGUCGCAAGAUUAAAACUUAAAUGAAUUGACCGGNGUGAGACGNGCGACGACGACGACGAGGGAGAGG